rnacentral:tRNA from 1 species
CCACUGCUCAAUUGGUAGAACACAAGGCUCUUAACCUUGUGGACGUGGGUUCGAGCCCCAUGGUGGG